ACAGGAGGGGACAGAGCAUGGGGAGGGGGGGACAUGUGACACCUGAGGGAGGGGACAGGAGGGGACAGGUGGCACCUGGGGAAGGGGACAGGAGGGGACAGGAGGGGACCGAAGGGGACAGGAGGGGACAGGUGUGGCAGCUGUGGGGGACAGAGGGACACGGGGACAGGCGGGGGACAGACAGAAGCAGAGGGGACACGCCGUGGGGACAGGCGACAGCCGGAAUGU